rnacentral:tmRNA from 1 species
GGGGACGCGUGGUUUCGACAGAUAAAUGAAAGAUUAGUUUGCGAAUCGAGAUUCCAUAUUCUCGUAAAACUUUGGAACAAAAUAAACGGCGAAAAAGAAUACGCUUUAGCAGCAGUAUAAACUAGCUUGCUACAUCUUAAAUGACUUUUCUCGGAGAGUUUUUAAGGUGACAAAUUUCCGAGAUGCAAUGUCGAUCCUUGCUGAUUUCGGCAAUCAAGAAAUUACAGCAGAAUGCUUAAUUUGCUUUUGUCACUUUAAAGAUUAAGCAUAUAAAAAGUGACUACUUUCGUAGAGAGCUAUUCAAUUAUUUAUUUGGACGGGGAGUUCGACUCUCCCCCGUCUCCACCA